rnacentral:rRNA from 1 species
UACGUAGGGUGCGAGCGUUAAUCGGAAUUACUGGGCGUAAAGCGUGCGUAGGCGGUUUCGCAAGUCCGCUGUGAAAGCCCCGGGCUCAACCUGGGAACGGCAGUGGAAACUAGGAGACUUGAAUCUGGCAGAGGGGGGUGGAAUGCCACGUGUAGCAGUGAAAUGCGUAGAGAUGUGGCGGAACACCGAUGGCGAAGGCAGCCCCCUGGGCUGAGAUUGACGCUGAGGCACGAAAGCGUGGGGAGCAAACAGG